GAUGAACGCUAGCGGCAGGCUUAACACAUGCAAGUCGAGGGGCAACACGGGUAGCAAUACCUGGUGGCGACCGGCGCAAGGGUGCGUAACGCGUGAGCAACAUGCCCUAUACAGGGGGAUAAUCCAGGGAAACUUGGUCUAAUAUCCCAUAGUAUUUAGAGGUGGCAUCACCACUAAAUUAAAGCUUCGGUGGUAUAGGAUUGGCUCGCGUGACAUUAGCUGGAUGGUGGGGUAACGGCUCACCAUGGCGAUGAUGUCUAGGGGUUCUGAGAGGAAGACCCCCCACACUGGGACUGAGACACGGCCCAGACUCCUACGGGAGGCAGCAGUGAGGAAUAUUGGACAAUGGAUGGAAAUCUGAUCCAGCCAUGCCGCGUGCAGGAAGACGGCCCUAUGGGUUGUAAACUGCUUUUAAUGGGACAAUAAGGUUUACCGUAGACCGAUGAGAGUACCAUAUGAAUAAGCAUCGGCUAACUCCGU
rnacentral:rRNA from 1 species